rnacentral:rRNA from 1 species
AUGCAGUCGAACGAUGAUGCCCAGCUUGCUGGGCGGAUUAGUGGCGAACGGGUGAGUAAUACGUGAGUAACCUGCCCUUGACUCUGGGAUAAGCCUGGGAAACUGGGUCUAAUACUGGAUACUACCUCUUGCCGCAUGGUGGGUGGUGGAAAGGGUUUUACUGGUUUUGGAUGGGCUCACGGCCUAUCAGCUUGUUGGUGGGGUAAUGGCUCACCAAGGCGACGACGGGUAGCCGGCCUGAGAGGGUGACCGGCCACACUGGGACUGAGACACGGCCCAGACUCCUACGGGAGGCAGCAGUGGGGAAUAUUGCACAAUGGGCGGAAGCCUGAUGCAGCGACGCCGCGUGAGGGAUGACGGCCUUCGGGUUGUAAACCUCUUUCAGUAGGGAAGAAGCGAGAGUGACGGUACCUGCAGAAGAAGCGCCGGCUAACUACGUGCCAGCAGCCGCGGUAAUACGUAGGGCGCAAGCGUUGUCCGGAAUUAUUGGGCGUAAAGAGCUCGUAGGCGGUUUGUCGCGUCUGCUGUGAAAGCCCGGGGCUCAACCCCGGGUCUGCAGUGGGUACGGGCAGACUAGAGUGCAGUAGGGGAGACUGGAAUUCCUGGUGUAGCGGUGAAAUGCGCAGAUAUCAGGAGGAACACCGAUGGCGAAGGCAGGUCUCUGGGCUGUUACUGACGCUGAGGAGCGAAAGCAUGGGGAG